rnacentral:rRNA from 1 species
UACGUAGGUGGCAAGCGUUGUCCGGAUUUACUGGGCGUAAAGAGCGCGCAGGCGGUCGAAUAAGUCGAAUGUGAAAGCCCCCGGCUCAACUGGGGAGGGUCAUUCGAUACUGUUCGACUUGAAGGCAGGAGAGAGAAGCAGAAUUCCCGGUGUAGUGGUGAAAUGCGUAGAUAUCGGGAGGAAUACCAGUGGCGAAGGCGGCGACCUGGUCCUUGACUGACGCUGAGGCGCGAAAGCGUGGGGAGCAAACAGG